UGGAAACUGAGACACAGAGAGGUUAAGAAACUAGUCCAGGAACACACAGCUGGGACAAGCAGAGCCUGCCCUCCCGUGAUCUCCAGGCAGAGGGAUGGAGAGAGCUGAAUCGUGGGUCACCCCCAGACCACAUGGAGAAACUGAGGCACAGGGAGGGGAAGUGAUUU